GAUGAACGCUAGCGGCAGGCUUAAUACAUGCAAGUCGAGGGGCAGCAUGACUGUAGCAAUACAGUUGAUGGCGACCGGCAAACGGGUGCGGAACACGUACGCAACCUACCCAAAACUGAUGAAUAGCCCUCCGAAAGGAGGAUUAAUACAUCGUAACUUAAUGAAGUGGCAUCACUUUAUUAAUAUAGCUCCGGCGGUUUUGGAUGGGCGUGCGCCUGAUUAGGUAGUUGGCGGGGUAACGGCCCACCAAGCCUGCGAUCAGUAACUGGUGUGAGAGCACGACCAGUCACACGGGCACUGAGACACGGGCCCGACUCCUACGGGAGGCAGCAGUAAGGAAUAUUGGUCAAUGGACGCAAGUCUGAACCAGCCAUGCCGCGUGAAGGAUGAAGGUCCUCUGGAUUGUAAACUUCUUUUAUGUGGGACGAAACCUCUUAUUCUUAAGAGACUGACGGUACCAUAGGAAUAAGCACCGGCUAACUCCGUGC
rnacentral:rRNA from 1 species